rnacentral:lncRNA from 1 species
AAUAUCUUUAAGUCCAUGACCAAUACCCCAGUUAGUCCUAUACAUAUGACCAGCGAUCAGGAAAAGAAUAGCAAUAGCUAAAUGAUGGUGUGCAAUAUCGCUCAACCAUAGACCACCGGUUAUUGGAUCUAGUUCCUCCGCGAAAAGUAAGAAAUUCUGGCAUAUUUGGACCAAUUCAAGGUGAAAAAGGGGGUUGCUCCUUCGGGCAAAACUAGGAUAAAGUUGAGCCAAAAGAUCGCGAUUCAAGAAUAAAUUCAUGAGGAAGUGGUAUCUCUUUAGGAUCAACCCCAGCGUCGAGAAAUUGGUUAAUCGGUAAAGAUACAUGGAUUUGGUGUCCCGCCAAGAAAGAGACCCAAGUCCUAAUAACCCGCUAAGUGGUGAUUCAACAUGGAUUCUACAUCUUGGAACCAAGCCAAUUUGGGAGCAGCUUUGGUGAUAAUGGAACCAACCAGCAAAAAGCAUUAACGAUGCAAAAUUCAAUGCACCGAUUGCGGUACAUAAGAGUUGUAAUUCACUAGUUAUUCCGGAUGCUCGCCAAAUCUGAAAAAACCCAGAGGUUAUUUGGAUUCCUCGGAAACCCCCGCCUACAUCACCAUUCAAAAUUUCUUGCCCUACUAUUGGCCAAACUACCUGAGCACUGGGUCCAAUGUGAGUAGGAUCGCUUAGCCAUGCUUCAUAAUUGGAAAAACGGGCACCGUGGAAGUACAUGCCACUCAACCAAGAAAGAUAAUGGAGAGUUGACCGAAAUGAGCACUAAAGACUUUUCGGGAGAUCUCCUCCAAAUCACCGGUAUGACUAUCGAAGAUCGUGAGCAUCAGCAUGUAGGUUCCAGAUCCAAGUGGUAGUAUCGGGACCCUUAGCUAUUGUUCUUGAGAAAUGCCCGGGUCUGGCCCAUUCCUCAAAAGAUGUUUUUACAGGAUCCCUAUCCACAACAAUUUUAACUUCUGGUUCCGGCGAACGAAUAAUCAUUAAGUCCUCUCUUUCCGGACAGACAUACAAAGAGACCCGCCAACUGUCUUUUUAUUGAAUCUUUGAAAGAUAGAUAUUAUGAUUAGUCCUUUUCUUUACUAUCUACCGUCCUUCUAUUUUUUUUUAGUUAUUCACUGGAGCAAUUAUAUAUUGAAGUCAAUCCGAGGCAAGUGUUCGGAUCUAUUAUGACAUAAGGAUUAGGUGCCUAACGGACAUUGGUUCUUCUGGAAAAUUAUUUCCCGACGUAACAAAAAAAUAUUUUUCUUUACGUUUUAAUUUAAGAAGCUAGUGUAUUUUUUUGAGGGUAUAAGCCCCUAUUUACAUCUACUUCCUUGAGUGAGCAUAAUAUAGAUUUUUUUAUGCGAUUCCAAAUUCCAAGAUAACUCAUUAGAAUUAUUAAUAAGACCGUCCUUAUAUAUUAGGUAGGAAUAUUAAAUUGCCGCCUUUUAUGUGCUUUAUUACUUUCUGUUCCAGAGCCUAUCCCUAUUAUUUAUCCUUAUGAAAUAUGAUAUAAAUCGAAGGCAGAAGAAAGGGAUAUAAUGAAAUUCCUUGAUUUGAUCUUCUUACCUAAAUUAUUUGAUUAAUGGAUCAAACAACCAAACCACCCAUUUUAUGGAAAUGGAGAGUGGUCUUAUUCAAAUUCAAAGCGCUUCGUAAUCUUCAACCAGUUCUGUGCUUCAAUAUAAUUUCCCGGAGUAAGCGCUAUAGCUUGUUUCCAAUACUCAGCAGCUUGAUCAAACCAAGCUUCCGCAAUUUCCGAAUCGCCCUGUAAAAUGGCCUGUUCUCCUCGGUCGGAAUAGGCAGUUCCUUCCCCUAGAACCGUACUUGAGAGUUUCCUACCUCAUACGGCUCAGAAAUUGCUAUCUUAAUUUCCCCUAUAUUAACUGAAUUCGAUUUCUCAAAAAUCAAUCCAAUUUCUUCUUGGGUUAAGCAGAAGAAGUUAAUUACCUAAGUUUCAAACCCUAAUUUUGAUCAAUAAUCAGUUUGAUCUUUUCUCCCACCUUCAGAAGAAUGAAGCAUAGAUAGACCUAUAUCCUUCGUUCCAAUUUUCUGAAAGGUAACUAUCUCGGUUUCGUUUCUUUCAUAUAUGAAAUUUCUAUAGAAUCCUCGAAAAAGACUUUUUCCCAUAAAAAAGAAAAAAGAACUUACUAUCUUUGGGAUCUGAUACUACACCGCUGCUUAAUCCCUUAGUGGAUCGGCUUUAUUACAUAAGCGGAUUCCUAAAUUUUGUCCCAUAUCGUGGUAUAAUGAAGCAGUUUUUUUUUAGUUGUAUCGACCCAGUUGCUCACUAAUUGAUCUUUACGGUGUUUUCUCUAUCAAUUUCAGCUUUAUCCAUAGAGUAGUAUAGGCUCUACUUUCUUCCUAUUUUGAUUCUCGUGAAGUGUCCUUCCUUCCUACAGCUGAUAGGGUAAAAUCGUUGUUUUGACGAUCCCUAUGUAGAAAGCCCUUUUUUUCUAGUAUUUACUAGAAAAUUUCCUCCUUUCUUUUUUUUUCUUCUUUCUAUAGUGGAGAUAGUCGCACGUAAUGACAGAUCACGGCCAUAUUAUUAAAAGCUUGCGGUAAGAAGGGGUUUCGUUCUAGCGCCCGGAAAUAAUAUUCCAAAGCCUUUGUAUGCUCUCCAUUGCUUGUGUGUAUAAGGCCUAUGUUAUAUAGUAUAUAACUUCGAUCAUAGGGAUCAAUUUCUAGUCGCGUAGCUUCAUAAUAAUUCUGCAAAGCUUCCGGCAUAAUUUCCUUCGGAUUGAGCCAACAUCCGUUACGGUCGUUCAUUCUAUUCAAUUCAAAAAAUCUCCGUUCCAAAACCGUACAUGAGGUUUCAUCUCAUACGGCUUCUCCCUUCUGUACAUAGUACUAAGCGAAAAAUCUAUAGAAUAAAAAUAGAAUUAGUCCCAUCUCAUUAUGGACCGAAGGGGGGCUGGUAUUUUUCCAAGAAAUCUCUAGCCAACCUUCCCCCAAGAGGUUUUUCUUAACACCAAUGAAUUCUAUUAAUGCUAGAGGAAAGCUCCAAGAAUUUCUUUGUUCUCAACGCCUCCUAUUUAGAGGAAUUAGCCACUUCAACGACCUUUGAUGGUUAUAAGGGUAUCCAAAGUACAAACCUGAUGGUUGUUUGCUAUCCUAACCAUUCUUCCCAACCCUGAUACCAAUCAGGAAAGGGCUAAUUUCUAACAAAGUUUUUCUCUUGUUGAUUCCUAUUUCGAGGUGUAGUGCUUUUCUCCCCUAUGCUGCCUAUUGGUACUAGUAGAGUCAGAUUGGCCUGUAAUACAGAACCUAUCCUGUAGGUGUAACCUUCGCUCAAUACUCCAAUCUACAAUUGAAGCAUCUGAGGCCACAUCAAUCGAGGAUACACGACGGAAGGAAUGUUAGUUCACCUCACCUUCCCCAAGCGUGGGUUUCCUUUACAAAUUUUCUUCUCUCUAUGCGAACCCCCUCUCUUCUCGUAAGAAUGAGAUGUAGGUAGGGCUAAAAAAAAAAAAAAAGAAAAAAAAAAGAGUCAAAUCGCACCAUCUCUAUAAUAAGUAAAUGCCCUUUUUUCCCCGGAGGUUGUCGGAAUUAUUUGCAAUAAAAUAUUGGCUACAAUCGAGGAGGUCUUAUCAAUGAAAUUUCCAUUUAUACGGGAUCUAGGCAUAAUUCCCAACCCAUUCUAUAUAGAAUUCUUUCAUUCUAUCACAAAAUAACAUAAAAACAAAACAUUCGAUCUUAUAAAUCGAGAUAUGCUCUAAAUGGAUAAGAAGGUAUGGGUUUUCCGCUCAGCUCAAAUUGUCUUCUUUCCUUCUGUUUGGACAAGAAGAGAUAUGAAAUAUUUGACUAAGACUAGAUUUCAUUCCACUUUCCUAUUUCUCAACAACAACUUCUCUCAUCAGCUAUUUUGCGUUUUCAAAGUCAUUAAUUGCCCCAUACCCUUUUUUAUAUUUAGAUUGUAUGGCGUAACGUACCUUAUGCAAAUAGAAUUCUAGGGUUCCUUUAUUUUCUUAUGGAAUAAGAAGAAUUCUUCCAUUCUCUUUUUAUUUUGUUUUCCCCAAAGAAAAACUUUUCGAGGGAGCGGAAUUCCUAGUAAAAAAAAAAUACUGGAUCCUUCCACUUAGAUGAAAAGGAAUUUUUCCCAUAGAGCCGUGGAAUCCCCGAGCCGUUGUGGCUGUACUGCAGGAAUACGAAAACUCGCUAUUCACUCAGUUAUUUUCCAUAAUAAGAUUAUGGAGGAGAGAUGGCCGAGCGGUUCAAGGCGUAGCAUUGGAACUGCUAUGUAGACUUUGUUUACCGAGGGUUCGAAUCCCUCUCUUCCGUUUCUCUUAAUUCAUCAAUGUUAGCAAUCACAAUGUAUCAAAUUAAAUAACAAUUUAUUCCAGCAAUAAUACCUUUAUUUAAUAGAAAUUCUCUAUAGCAAAUUACUGUGGUAUGUAAAUACACAUCGAGGAAAUAACAAAAAAGAAAAAAGGAUCCUAGGGUUAAUCUAUUUCUGCUAGUGAACAGGAAAAUACGAAUUAAGAGCCUUAGGUCAAUUUAGUUCGGGGAAAGGGGAAGGGGAAAAAAAUUCUAUGAACCUUUCCUUUUUUCGUUAAGUUCAAGUCUGGCGAGAGUAAUAUUCUACAACUAACAACUCAUUUACUUUGAGACCGACCCACUUCCUAUCUAGAAUUUUUUUUACUAGUCCUUUAUAUUGCAAUGUGUCAACCGUCAAAUGCUUUGGCAAUUUGCCCGGAUCGGAUGAAGCAAUAGAAUUUUGAACCAGACGUUUUGAUCGUUGGUUAUCCUUCGUAGUAAUAAUAUCUCGGGGUUUGCAACGAAAACUUGGUAAUAUCAACUAUACGACCAUUAACUAAAAUAUGUCUAUGGUUAACUAAUUGCCGGGCCCCAGGAAUGGUUGAAGCCAUACCCAAUCGAAAAAGUAUAUUAUCCAAACGCAUUUCAAGUAAUUGUAGUAAAACCUGACCUGUGGAUCUUUUUGCUUUUCCAGCGAUAUGUACAUAUCUAAGUAAUUGGCCUUCUGUCAGACCAUAAUGAAAACGCAAUUUCUGUUUUUCUUGAAGACGAAUACAUAUUGCUCUUUUUCCCAGAAUGGAAUUUCUUUUUCUGAUUACUUCCGGAUUUAGGCGUUUUCUAGUGAGUCCUGGUAAAGCUCCCAGACGGCGUAUUUUUUUUAAACGAGGCCCUCGAUAACGGGACAUGAAGACUCCUUUUUUUUAUUGAAAUUUCAUUUUACACAAUAAAUUUCAUUCUAUUUACAUUACAAAAUACAUCGAAAUUCAAACUGAAUUAAACUAAAGGAUAAGCAGAGUAAAAUCUACUAAAAGUACCACAAAAAAUGAAGUACCACAAAAAAUGGAAUUCAUCAACAUCCGGAUUUUUGUAUAUAUAUUAUUUAUUUUUAUGCUUUGUAUCUAGCAAAAUUGUAAGGUAGAACGACAUAAAAGACCCUGGCUUCCCCAUUUAAUUUAGAGAAAAAGAGAAAUUCUUGUUCAUGGAACAUCGAUAGAGAAAAAAGCCGACUAUCGGAUUUGAACCGAUGACCCUCGCAUUACAAAUGCGAUGCUCUAACCUCUGAGCUAAGUGGGCUUACAUAACAGAAAUAGUGUAACAAAUAGAAAUAUAUAUAGGGAAUCUGUAAAAUGUCAAUCUUAAUUAUUAAUCUAGUUAUUAACUAGUUCGAAAUUGGAAGUCCUACUUAGAAUUAGUAAAAGAAUUAGUAAAAAAAAUACUAGAAUUUCAUAAAGAUAAAAUUAGCUUGAUAUGCUUAACUAAAUGAUAUUCUUAAAUAGGAUUCUAGAAUUUAUUGAACUUCUUUUUAUUUCUCUAAUUCGCAAAUGGAUUUUUCUAUUCUAAUAGAAUCUAUUCCAAAUUCUAUAUUGAAUUUGAUUUCAGAUAUUUUCAAUUUGAUAUGGCUCGGACGAAUAAUCUAAUACAUAUAAAAGAAGAAUAUAUAUGAAUAUUAAAUAAAGAGAAAAUGCCAAGAGAUUAGCAUUUUCAUUCGAUCAUUAUAUACAUUUUUGAUUUGAGAUAUUUGUUUUUUUUAUUUGUUAAUAAUUUAAGGAUAAAUAGUUCACUAAGGAGAAGAUAGAAUCAUAACAAAUGAAAUUUCUAAUUCAGAUUAGAAAACAAAGAAUGAAUAUCAAGCGUUAUAGUAUGAUUUUGAAUACUCUAAAAAAGGAAGGAGGAAGGCGGGAGAGAGAAAAACUUUUGGAUAUAUUCAUUCCGAUUGAAUUGCAAAUAUAUCAACGAUAGAAUCAAUUCAAUUCUGAAUUGCAAUAAGCGAGCGGGCUCUCUCAAAUAGAGAUGAGCUGCUAGACUACGUCGAAUAAUCAAUUCAAUGAUUCAAAAAAAACUAAGAGAUGGAUGAAAUUAUACAAGGAAUCCUGGUUUCAAAGAAAAGGAAAAUGGGGAUAUGGCGAAAUCGGUAGACGCUACGGACUUGAUUGUAUUGAGCCUUGGUAUGGAAACCUGCUAAGUGGUAACUUCCAAAUUCAGAGAAACCCUGGAAUAAAAAAUGGGCAAUCCUGAGCCAAAUCCCUUUUUUGAAAAAACAAGUGGUUCUCAAACUAGAACCCAAAGGAAAAGGAUAGGUGCAGAGACUCAAUGGAAGCUGUUCUAACGAAUCGAAGUAAUUACGUUGUGUUGGUAGUGGAACUCCUUCGAAAUUAUAGAAAGAAGGGCUUUAUACAUCUAAUACACACGUAUAGAUACUGACAUAGCAAACGAUUAAUCAUAGAACCCAUAUCAUAAUAUAGGUUCUUAUUUUUUUUUUUAAUGAAAUUAGGAAUGAUUAUGAAAUAUCAAAUUCUGAAUUUUUUUUAGAAUUAUUGUGAAUCCAUUCCAAUCGAAUAUUGAGUAAUCAAAUCUUCAUUCAUUGUUUUGAGAUCUUCAAAAAAGUGGAUUAAUCGAACGAGGAUAAAGAGAGAGUCCCAUUCUACAUGUCAAUACUGACAACAAUGAAAUUUCUAGUAAAAGGAAAAUCCGUCGACUUUAUAAGUCGUGAGGGUUCAAGUCCCUCUAUCCCCAAACCCUCUUUUAUUCCCUAACCAUAGUAGUUAUCCUUUUUUUUUCUUUUAUCAAUGGGUUUAAGAUUCAUUAGCUUUCUCAUUCUACUCUUCACAAAGGAGUGCGACGAGAACUCAAUGAAUCUUAUGCUAUUCAUUAAAUAGAUGAUUUCUUUUUAUUUGAUAGGAUUACCCCGCCCAUUUCCAAAUUUAGAAUGGAAUACUUUAUUGAUUUUUUAGUCCCUUUAAUUGACAUAGAUGCAAAUACUCUACUAGGAUGAUGCACAAGAAAGGGUCAGGAUAGCUCAGUUGGUAGAGCAGAGGAUGAAAUCUCGUGUCACCAGUUCAAAUCUGGUUCCUGGCACAGAAAAAAAAGGAUCUACCGAAUAGAUAUUGAUACAAAUAUCUUGAGAUGGAUUGGGGUACAUAUUCAUUAAUAAUAUAGAUACUAUAGAGUAAGUAGAUAAAUCUCUAAACACUUCUUUUAAAAAAGGGUGAAAAUCUCUGGUUAUUUCUUUCUGGUUCUUUUCUUUAUGGUAUAGAUAUAGAAAGAGGGGAGAUUAGGUGCCCUUUUCUUUAUUUUUGCAUUUCUUAUUAAUUUUUUAUGCCGCUAUUCCAAAGAAUUUUUUUAUUCUUGCUUAUCCUACUUCCCUAGUUGUUCUAAGUAAUCUGCGCGGUACAAAGUUCGUGGUAGGAACUUCUUUGAGUCAUUGUAUUUUUAUGUUCAUACGAAGGAAACAAUAUGUGAUUUCCAAAUUGGAAAAUCGAAAUGAAGCCCUUUUUGUUCAGUCUAUCUGGAUCUUUUUGUAUAAUAUAAUAGGAAUUAAUUAGAAUAUAAUAAGUAUUUCGUUUCGUCUAGGAACAGAACGUAAAAAUAUUCCUUGACUUGAAUAAAAUCUGGAGUUGUGUUGUAUAAGUGAACAUGAAUUUAUUAUCAUUCAAUGAGCAUCUUGUAUUUCAUAGAAUUGGGGGUUAUAUAGUCCUUACGUAAGGGCCAGCCUAUCCAACUUUCAGGCAUUAAGAUACGUUUAAGACGUGGAUGAUUAUCAUAAGAAAUUCCCACCAUAUCAUAAGAUUCGCGUUCUUGAAAAUCGGCACUUCUCCAAACCCAGAAGACAGACGGAUUCUAGGAUUAUCUUUUUGGGCAAAGACUUUAUGCAUACUUCUUCUGGUUAUCUAUACCAUAUUGUAUUCUCGUAAGAUGAUACACGCUAGCUAAAGAUCCACCGGGUGCUACGUCAUAAGCACAUUGGGAACGUAAAUAAUUGUAACCAUAUACAUAUAAAAUGACAGCAAUGGAAUCCCAAUCCCCCGCUUUUAUUUGUAAAGUCUCUAUUCCUCGGUGAUCGAAGCCCAAAGAUCUAUGAACCACCUCAUGUUUGACUAGCCAAUUAGAUAACCAACCCUGCUGCAUUGUCUUGAUCUCUCCCCUUUGUAUAAAUAUUUCACAUUUCAAAUGCAAGUUUGAAAGAUUGCACUGCUCUUUCUUUUUCUGCACAAAAGAACCCCUCCUAAUUCACUAAUUUGUAGGAAGAUAUUGGACUUUUGGAUUUGAAAAGAGUUUCAGAAGAUAUAUCUAAAGUAGAUGGUGAUUGAUAGAGCAAUUCUUGUUCGUAAGUUCCAGUGUGAGUACUGCGCCGAACAUAAAGCUUGUGACGGGUAGUAAAAGAUCUAUUUUUCUUUUGACUUUGACAUAGAGUUCGAUCCUCAACUAUUUCUCGCGAUAUCUUCUUACGAAGUUUGUUAGGGCAUCUAUAACAGCCUCUGGUUUAGGCGGGCAACCCGGUAGGUAGACAUCCACAGGAAUUAACUUAUCAACUCCUCGAACAGUACUAUAGGAAUCCGUACUGAACAUUCCGCCUGUAAUAGUACAGGCUCCCAUAGCAAUGACGUAUUUCGGUUCAGGCAUUUGCUCAUAUAAUCGCACUAAAGAUGGAGCCAUUUCAUGUUACCGUACCAGCUGUUAAAAUUAGGUCCGCUUGCCUAGGACUUGAUCUUGGUACCAAUCCAUAACGAUCAAAGUCGAAUCGUGAGCCUAUUAAUGAAGCAAAUUCAAUGAAACAACAACUGGUACCAUAUAGAAGGGGCCAUAAACUGGAGAGUCUUGACCAAUUCGAAAGAUCGUUUGGUGUAGUUGAAAUAACGGAAUUGGAACUUGUUUGGUCGAGUAACGGAAACUCAAUCAAACUCAUAAUUGUCUCAAUGGAAUCUUUUCCUUCUUUUUUUUUUUUUGUUUGAAUAUUCAGUUAAGACCAUUCCAAGGCUCCUUUUCGCCAUGCAUAAACUAAACCAACAACUAGGAUAAGCACAAAAAUGAAAGCUUCGAUAAAAACGGAUACACCUAAUACGUCGAAACUCAUUGCCCAAGGGUAGAGAAAGACCGUUUCCACAUCAAAAACAACAAAAACUAGCGCAAACAUGUAAUAGCGUAUUCGGAAUUGUAACCAAGCCCCCCCAUGGGUUCUAUACCCGAUUCAUAACUAGAAAGCUUCUCUGGUCCUUCACUAACAGGGGCUAAAAGU